rnacentral:other from 1 species
UUAAUCCUGCUUAGUACGUGAUAAGGCGAUGUAUUCGACCUACAAUUAUUAAAUGGAGUCCAAUAUCCGAUAUCGGUUUGCAGGCCUCCCACCAGCUCUCUCUUAAUGAGGCUUUUGCCGGACAGAGCCUUGUGGAUGUUGGAAGCAAUUAAGGUAUUAUGAGGACACCGCCUUGUUUAGAACAAGGUUCAAAUGAUUGCUUUACACGGCUCGGUGGGAUUUUU